AUACGAAGGGGGCUAGCGUUGUUCGGAAUUACUGGGCGUAAAGAGUACGUAGGUGGUUUGUUAAGUCAGAUGUGAAAGCCCCGGGCUCAACCUGGGAACUGCAUUUGAAACUGGCAAACUAGAGUAUGGUAGAGGGGGGUAGAAUUUCUAGUGUAGCGGUGAAAUGCGUAGAUAUUAGAAGGAAUACCAGUGGCGAAGGCGGCCCCCUGGACCAAUACUGACACUGAGGUACGAAAGCGUGGGUAGCGAACAGGAUUAGAAACCCUAGUAGUCC
rnacentral:rRNA from 1 species